rnacentral:lncRNA from 1 species
AGGGCUUGACUGUCCAUUCAAGAUCAGCUUGGGCUUGGCUAUCAGGUUAAGGCUUGGAAGCACCUAGAUAGGGUUGUGUUUAGAGCCUGAUUAGGGCUGAAAUAGGGGCAACCCAAAUUGUUUCCCUGAGGGGGAAGGUAAAGAUCCUACAACUGCCUGGGAGUGUUUUACCUCCUUUACCUUUACCUUUGACCUUUCCUGGCAGUGUAAAAAUCAUAGCCAUUCUAGGGGGAAUCUGAAGUUAGAAUUUUAAGAAAUGUCUUAACCACCUCUUUAAAGUUCAUCUGAAAUGAACCGUUGUGCCUUAACAGAGUAACCAUUAAGAUAUAACUCUCAUUGAGUAUAAAUAAAGUUCUCGUUUUGUUCCAAAAAUGCCUCAUCCUUACUUUAAUCCUCUGGGUGAGGAAUAAGUGUUCACAGGUUCUCCUUUCCCCUAACUGCAAUACCAGCAAUGCUGGUUUUAAGAAAUGCUACCACAUACAGAUAAUAACAGACCUCCUAAAUGUUCUGACUGGGAGAGUCUAACUUUUAAAACCACCCCAAUCUUAGCCAUGCUACCACAUUCCCAUCUUUAUUGCAGUAGGUUGCCACACCUGGGUCUAAUGUUAUUCAUGUAAUGUCCGGUGAGGAAAUGAAAUAGCAAUCUAGGAAAGCCAAUAUAGGAUCCAGAUUGGUAAGGAGGCCACUUAGUCAAAAUAUCAACUACCUCAGUAAUGUGGGUGUGUUUCCUCAUUUAAACAAGGGCUGAUAGAAAAUGGCAUUAGGUAGCCAGAUGUGAUUACCUUUAUGCUACUGUGGCAUCAUCACAUUCGCUAUAGCUGACACACAACUGGGGACGGGACAGAGGUGUGCGUGAGGACCCACCCCACAAUAUCCCCUGGUGUGCAAAUUGCUCUUCAGAUCUUCAUGCAAUUAACGGUUAAUUAAAGGCUGAAGAGCAUUUUUGUGUGCCUUUGAAUGUACUUUGAAACUCUCCUCAAAUCCUGAUAAGCCAGGGUUCCCACUUGCAGAGAGGUUUCUAAGUGUGUUUAAUUGAAUGCGCUUAAACAGGCUCUUCAGACCUUUUGCAAUAAUUCCGUGAAGAUCUGAAGAGCAGCCAGGCGCACUGUGGGCAAAGUCGGGGUGUCUUGCAUGCGUGCCUCUGCUCCAUCCCCACUUUAAUCCUUUGAACACCUGAACACAGCCCGAUUGGCUAGGAUCACUUAGUGAUGAAGAAAGAAGUCCUAAAACUGAAGCAAUAACAUAAGGGGCUGAAAACAGACAUGGGGGGAGGGCGGGCAACCCAAAAGAUCUCAGGUGAUUUCUUAUACCUUUUCAAAGCCUCCUUUUUGCCUCAAAAAGGUUUUUGUGCACUCUGAAUGCAGUGCUAGUCCUGAGCGAUCUCCUCCUCCUGAUCAUGAUUAGAAAAUCUGAUUUUCACCAUCUAGGUCUCAAGGUGGCUUAUAAAAAUGCAAUACGCAAAGUUUAACGCAUAAAUUAAACCUCUCAAACUUUAAAACUUCAGAAACUGAAGAUCUAAAGAGAAAAAGAAAAACAUCUGAGAUGCAAUUGGGGUCCACAGGCCUCCUAAAAAAAUCUUUCUUUUUUUAAAAAAAGUUUUGAGCAGACAUCUGAAAUGCAGUAGGAAUGGUGCCUGUCUAACUUCCUGAGAAAGAGAGAUCCACAACACUGAACAUGCAACUCCUUAUUUGACACGAGUCUUGCUUCUGGCCCAUAGGGAACCAGUAGUAAGCCUCUAUCCUGCCCUAAUGAUCUCAGUGAUUAGCUUUGGGUGUAUAAGGUAGGGCAGCCGUUAAUGCAAUCUGGGCCUAAGUUAUUCAGGACUUUGUACACUAGUGUGAGAACCUUGAACUUGGUCCAGCAGCAGAUGUCAGUUAACUCUGGUAUCAUGUGUGGGUGGUAGUCACCAGUCUAACCAUAGCAUUCUGCUCUAGCUGAAGCUACCAGACCCAAGGGCAGCUCCACAUACAGCAUGCAACAAUAACCCAGUCUUGAGGUUACCAAUGCAUGAACUACAGUGCUGAGGUUAAUCCUAUCCAGGAAUGCCCGUAGCUGGCAUAAGAGCCAAAGCACGUCAAAGGCACUCAUAGCCAGAGAGGCUACCUGAGUCUCAAGGAGUGCCACCAAACUACAUAACUGCUCCUUCAGAUUCAGUGCAACCCCAUCCAGGGCAGGCAACUGGCCUGUAUCCCAGAUCUAAAAACCACUCAGAAAUCCUCUGUCUUCCCAGGGUUCAGAGUCUUGAUCUUCCAGUCUCAUCUGAAUUAGACGUAGUGGAGAAAUGGAGCAGGGUAUUAUCAGCAUGCUGAUGCCACGUUCCCCAAGAUUUCUAAUGGUCAUUGUCAACAGCACUGGGGACAAAAUAGAGCCCUGCAGGAAUAUGUCCUGUUGAAACCACUGAAAAUUACUUCUGAGAAAGUAAGGACUGCAGUGCACAUCUGUCUGGGGUUUUCAAGUGUGGGAGCAUGCACAAAUAGAAAAUGCAUGGGAAAGUUCUCCCAACAGUUAUAUGGUCACCUAUUGCAUGUACACAGCUUCAAGAUACCUUUGAAAGUGUCAGCAACAAUGUAAACAGAGAAGGUCCUCUUCCCCUCCCUUUUAAAGAAAAAUUACAAAUAAAAGAUUCCCAUGUUUGAAAGGUCAGAAGAAGGAGGGGAGAAGAGAAAACAUAAUGCACUCACAAAGAGACAACAUCAUUAAUUCUGUUGUUCUUGGCCCAGUCAAUCGAAGAAACAUAAGUGCUGUCAACAGAGGACUGUGAGAUAAAGGAUAAAAAGUGGGAAUGAAAUGUUUUACUGCAAGGACUGUUCUUUUGGUUUGAGAACAUUUCUGGAAAUAACCUGAGCUGAGAAAAUGUUCCCUGUGAGGAAUACAUGCUGUGGGAAACUGUGUGGAAGAUGAAGUUUGGGCAAUGACCUUCUCACUGUGCUUUAAUCAAGAUACACACCAAAGGACCCAAGUUUUGUUUUUGUUUUGUGUUUUUUUUUAAAAGAAGGAAUACUGUGCAAUUUGAGAUGCUUUACCUUUCCCGUGUUACAUUAACCGAACCAGAAAGCACAAGGGUACCAUAAAUAUGUAUUCCAAGCUUGUGUGUGUGUGUGUGUGUUUGAGUGUGUAGAGAUAUAUUAACACUUCAUAACUCUCUGAAAAUGUUACCUUUGUUUAAUUGUCAGACGAUGAAGUGUGUGGCAGUCCAGUACACUUUAAUGGGAUAUUUUAAGAUGACGAAGUAGAAAUGUGUGUGGUAUAACAGAAACAACAGGGGUGACAUUAUUGGUUGUGUUGCAGUACAACUAAAUGUGUGUGCUUUUCUUUCUUUCUUUUUUAAAAAACCCCAAGGCUAAGAAAUAGAAAAGCCAGAGUCAUGCCCCAGCGCAACUCUAGGAGCUAGAUCUUCCCAUGCACUACUUUGCAUUCUGUGUUGUUUAGUCGUUUAGUCGUGUCUGACUCUUCGUGACCCAAUGGACCAGAGAAGGCCAGGCACUUGUGUCUUUCACUGCCUCCUGCAGUUUGGUCAAACCUGAGCCACACUUUGCAUUCUACAAGAAGCAUAAAAAGUAGAGAGAUGGGCUUUUACCAUUAUACGGAGUUAGAGAGCUACCUCAGGUGACAGAUUUUCCGAGUGGGUGAGCAGAGAGCAAUGGCAAGAUGUUAGAGCAGGUCUAGGGGAAAGUUUGACCCUUGGGAUGUUGUCAGAUCCCAGCUCCCAGCAGCCGCCGCCAGCAUGAACAAUGGUGAUGAAUAAUGGGAGCUGGAGAGCCAAGGGAUCCCCAGCCCUGUGCUACAAGAUGGAACUAUGUGCGUCACAUGACUUGCCCUGCACUAGCCUGCCUGCCUGCCAGGGCCUUCAUGGGGUAUUAACCCACAAGUGUCAUUUUGGUGUUAGGUUUUUAUGCUACCUGUUUUAAUCUGCUCUUCUAUGGAUGCUGUUUUAAAUAUUGCAGCCUAUCCUGAGUUCUGGAGAUGAAGGGUGGGAAUGCUUCAGCAGAUGGAAAUAUUGGAAGAGGGUGAGGCUGAAUUCAGUGCUAGAAAUGACUGCUUUGUGACAAGGCAGGUAUCCAGGGCAACUAAAUUAUGAAAUUGAGCUGGGUUGGAUAAGCUUUGUCUACUUAAGGGCUGGGGUCAUAGUGAAGCCAUGCUGCAUAAAAUGGUAUAACACUGCUUUAAAAAAAUAUAGUGUGGAUGGGGCCUAAGUGUUUAGCAGCAAACAUAAGUAUGGGAAGCUGUGUUGACAUUGCUGCAUAGCCAAGCAAUGUGAGGAGGCAUGUACUGUGAUGAAGCAGUGCACGGAAAGAUGAUACUUCACCCUGCCCCUUCCUACUGUUUCCCCCCUGAAAACCACCUCAAUCCCAACACCUAUUUUGAAGGAAGGAGGGUUUGCUACAAGAGACACAACUGGCAAAUGUCCACUAAUUCACAUUAUCUUUUGUGUGCAGUCACGAUUCCCGGAGUUGUUUCAGUGAUAAUCAGAUGUAUGCACACAUAGAAACAAAUGCAAAAUUAACUCUUGCUGCGCCUACUUGACCUUUUAGACAACUUCGCAUUUGUUUCUCCAUGCUUCUAAUUAAAACACAAUAAUUUUGACACCUUGUUCCUUUUGCACUCCAGCCCGAUAAUUCCACCACUAUUUUAUGAGCUGUGUCCUAGGCCUUGUGCAGCUAUUCCAUGUAAAGUCAACUGCGAACCUACAGAGACUGAGGCUGCUUUAAACCAAAACCACCUAACGAGGAACUACUGUUAUCCAUCUCCUCUUUGUAAUUUAGCUUGGUAACUUAUCGGUGGGAACUAUUUCAAAAGUAUACAUUCAGAGAAAUUCAUAGACCACAUGAUGUCUUUUCCAUAUGGCAUCUCAUAAUUAUUUGGCUGUGUGCGAACAUGAUGAAAACAGUUUCCUAAAUCUCUGAGGAUCAGGGUAAAUUAUUUCAAUUAGAGAUAUUUCAGAGCAAACAUUGCCUUAGGGCAUAUUAAUAAUAGUACCUGAGAAGGAACAGCUGUCUCCCAAGCAAAGAAAUCUGUCAGUUUCUUACUGCCCCUGUGAUAGGACCUAUUUUGUUAACUUUUGAAAAACAAAACAGCUUUUUCUCAUGCUUUACCUAAACACAGAACUUGGCAGUGGAAGUCUUGAUUAUAAACCUCAGCAAGGGAGAUGGUGGGUGGAUUUUAUUCCCUUUCUCCCCCUUUCAAUAAACUCUUGUAUAAAAUCAGCCAUUCUCCUGGUAUUUGUUUUCUGCAAUGUUGGAAAUCACAGAUCCAACAAACUACAUAAAGACAUUUUGUAACUUCCUGGAACUUUCUCGGGCAAAUCAAUCCUUUGUUCUAAAAGGCAGUUCCCCACCUAAGAGGGUAUUAUCACCAAAAUCAUAGAAGAGCUUCCUUCCUUACAUGUAACCCUUGACACAGUUACUGUAAUGCAGGCAUGGCCAAACUUGGCCCUCCAGCUGUUUUGGGACUACAACUCCCAUCAUCCCUAGCUAACAGGACCAGUGGUCAGAGAUGAUGGGAAUUGUAGUCCCAAAACAGCUGGGGGGCCAAGUUUGGCCAUGUCUGCUGUAAUGCAACCAUGAGGUAGCUGAUCUACUGAGGUGUCACAUGACCCUGUCUCUCAGCCCUAUCAUCAGCUAACCUGUAGAAACACCAUUUGGUAGGGCUUGGGACAGCGAUAAGAGGGAAGGUAUUAUUUGUGGGAAAUAGUCCUAUCAAUGUACAGCCAUGCUUGCUGCAGAGUGGAGGUGCGCUUAGAACCCACCCCCACAACUCCUUCCCACAACUGCAUGUUGAGUGUGGUUGUGUGCACAGAAAUCCCAAUGCACGGCCACCUGCUUUCACAUAGGGGCUCUGCAGGAUCAGGACCUGACUGUCUUAGGCCAAAGAGAGGCUGAGAUGCUGAACCUUUAGUCAGAAAGUUCUGAGGGAAAGCGACACUAGUUUGGUAACUGGACUCUUGUUCUGGGAUAAAGCUUUUACACAAGGGCUUCUGCUAGGAAACUUACAAAGUUUCAGAGGAGUUUCACACUUACAAAGUUAGGUGGGUUAACAGAAACAAAAAUCUUAAUUUUGCCCACUCCUGGAUUUAAGAGACUCGCUGAAAUGCUUCCACACACCCCAAAAAUGCUGAUGCACAGCUCAGGGGAAGGAGCAGACUCGCAAUCUUCAUGGGGACUGCUAAUGCUGAAUUCAAGCCAGUACUUUCUUUCAGCACUGCUCUGAAACCUGUUCAAAAUGACAGGGUUUAUCACUGGAAUAUGUGGAGCUGGGUGGCCUUGUAUUCUACUUUACAGAGCUCUAUGUGAAGGGUUACCUGGGACAAUUCACUGUUUCAAGGUGACCCCUAUUUGAAGGGUUGUCCAGUCCAAGUCUGGCUUAAAGAUAAAGAAACUUGAAGUUGCCCAUACAACUUGAGGUUCCCAUCCAGGACAGCAGAAUCAGGACACGCACUCUAGGCCAUCGAGUGUAAUUUCCCAGAAAAUGUCAAUGUCCUACAAUGGAGGUUCUAGUAACCUCAAUAGGGCAUGGGCACAUAUAUUAAAGACAUGAGAUCCAUCCCACCCACCUGCACCCCAAAAAGGCAAAUCUUGUUGUUUCAUUCCUAGGCAUACAGCUGACAUACAAGCCCCUUGUGAACCACCUAAAGCUCCGCUUCUGACAGAAAUUGGUACC